rnacentral:siRNA from 1 species
AUUCAUAUGAACCAGAUACCA